UGGGGCUGGGGUAGCUGAGGGCUCUUUGGGGGAUGGAGGAGUGGCUGAGAGCUCUUUGGGGGAUGGAGCUGCAGGGGCCCCUUUGGGGGCUGGGGUAGCUAAGG